UACGUAGGGUGCAAGCGUUGUCCGGAAUUAUUGGGCGUAAAGAGCUCGUAGGCGGUUUGUCGCGUCUGCUGUGAAAACUCAGGGCUUAACCCUGAGCCUGCAGUGGGUACGGGCAGACUAGAGUGUGGUAGGGGAGCGUGGAAUUCCUGGUGUAGCGGUGAAAUGCGCAGAUAUCAGGAGGAACACCAGCGGCGAAGGCGGCGCUCUGGGCCGGAACUGACGCUGAGGAGCGAAAGCGUGGGUAGCAAACAGG
rnacentral:rRNA from 1 species